rnacentral:lncRNA from 1 species
CUUUUGGCAAUUUUUGACAAAAAGGGGGAGAUCAUAAGAAGAACAGGUAUUGAUCAAAUCAGAGGAUGGAGAGGAUGAAUUUAAAGUAAAAUGGGAAGAAGUGAUGAACAAAGGGGGAGAAGGAUCGAGUACAUUGAAUUGAAUGUAAGAUUUCUAUAUCUUUGUGGUUGAUCUGUUUUGCAAGACAUCAAGACUUCAUGACUCCUAGUUGCGUCUAAGUCAUAGAGUCUGUUUUAGGAGUUUAUGAUGUACUUUUGAGUUUCUUCUUGUAUUUGGACUACACGCGAGGAGUUCAAUGUUUUGGUGAUGAUAUUUGAACUUCGUUUUUUCUUUAAGAUGUAAUUUUUGAGUUUUUGUGAGUUUUGUCAUGAAAUUGCCAAAGAGGGAGAUUGUUAAG